rnacentral:rRNA from 1 species
UCAGACGAUGCGUCAUGCAUAUCAAUAAGCGGAGGAAAAGAAACUAACAAGGAUUCCCUUAGUAACGGCGAGUGAAGCGGGAAGAGCUCAAAUUUGAAAUCUUCAAGGUUUGACCUUGACGAAUUGUAGUUUAAAGAAGUGUUUUCGGUUAGAGAGUUUGGUAAAAGUUCUUUGGAAUAGGACAUCAUAGAAGGUGAGAAUCCCGUAUUUGACCAUUAUUUUCAGCUGUGUGAUACACUCUCAAAGAGUCGGAUUGUUUGGGAAUGCAGUCCAAAAUGGGUGGUAAAUUUCAUCUAAAGCUAAAUAUUGGCGAGAGACCGAUAGCGAACAAGUACCGUGAGGGAAAGAUGAAAAGAACUUUGAAAAGAGAGUUAAACAGUACGUGAAAUUGUCAAAAGGGAAGCGUUUGACACCAGUGUUGUUUUCUCGAAAAUCAAUUAAAAAGAGUUGGAUUUUGUGUUGUAUUGACCUUAUCAGCUUUCUGCACUCUCUUCCUGUCUUUUUUAAUGCACUUUUCGUUUAACAAGUCAACAUCAGUUUCUUUUGUUGUAAAAGGGUCAUUGGAAGGUGGCUUUCUCUUCGGAGAAAGUGUUUAUAGCCUUUGAUCUCUGUAAUCGGAGAGACUGAGGUCUGCAGCGUAGAUCCUUCGGGGUUAGAUACAUUUGUGCUAAGCUACAGCUUUUCAUAGACAACUUGUUGACUAUGAUUAGUCAUUGUAGCUUACCUCGCUUAUGCUAUUUUACCUACGCUUAGGAUGUUGAUAUGCAUGACUGAUAU